AUGUUCUCGCUCGCACCAGAAGCACUGAGUCUGAGUGUUCUGUCGAAGUCUCCGUCUCUGAUCAUCGAUGUCGUCGAGAGUUUGACGCGGUAUGGCUGUCGUGAGGAUAGGUUGAAGAAGGGUGGAGACAAUAGAAUGUACAGAAGCGGAGAUAGUCCAGAAAUAGUAACAGAGGGAGAAUCGAAGAUGGCUGGAAAAGUUAAGAGAGUAUGUUGGUGGAAGUGGUGGUUAAACGAUGAUUUGGAAUCUGGUGACAGAGUCGAAGAGAUAUUGUGUUACGGUGAUAACAAAAAGGGAGUAUAG